ACAAAGAAGAAAAACCCAGAAACCUACAAUGAAUAAUAGGAGUGCAAAAAAUGUAAUUUCUAAAUCCAACAAAACCCAGUUAACCGUAUGCCCUACUUGAUAAGAACAGUUUUAACAGAACAGGCCCACAAAACCUCAUCAUAAAAUUAUGCUCAAAUUUUUACAGCAUAGGCUCUAGCUUCACAUUCUUUGUUUUCUUCUGCCAAUGUAAACAGACUCUAACAUUACAUUGAUUAUAUUAAUAGAAUUGCUGCAAGAAGAAAAUGAAAAGAAGAGGGAGCUAAUGCAUCUCACUUGGGAAUCAA
rnacentral:misc_RNA from 1 species